ensembl:lncRNA
AUCCAAUAUUCUAAAUCAGCUACACUUUCUUUUAGGUUUCUAACACACAUGUUGCUGCUGUCCCGGUCCACAGCAAAGCUUCAUCCACUGCAGGAGAUACAACGGUUUGGGAUUUUAAAACUAUCCCUUUAAGGCCAAUAAAAUGAAAUGUGACCUUUGCUUGGCAUCAUUCCAUUACUGUCACGUUCUCUUGUCUUCUUCUCUUAUCUUUUUUUGCUCGUUCAUCAUUUCACUCUCCUCCCUCUUGCAUCGAAACCACCGGUCAGGAUCACGGACGAGCAGGUCGCCGCCGAACAUCCUCGCUGCCCGAGGACCAAACGGGACCCGCGGCCCAAAAAUAAGCCGGGACAUUUUUUGGGACGCCUUUGAUGGGCUGCAGGAAACAACUAAUCCUCAUAACAAAUGUCCUGAGUGAAGAGGAAGAUGGUUUUGGACCAUCAUCAGAGCGAAGAGCGAUCCGGCCAUGUGCUCUCCGUAUGCUUCACACAGCUGACUCUGGAUUUCCGCUGUGAUGCUUCAAACGGGCACGUCUCUCCCCAUCAUUCUUCCACUAUCGCCGCCUCUUCACAAGUUUAAAGCCUCACGGACUCAAAGAGAGCCGCAAAGGAAAAAGUAGAUACCAGGAAGUGUGUGUGUGUGUGUGUGUGUGUGUGUGUGUGUGUGUGUGUGUGUGUGUGUGUGUGUGUGAGAGAGGCAGGAUGGAAUGAGGGGAAGUCAGACCAGAUGAGAGACAUCGACUGACGCAAAAGAGAGAAGGUUGAAUUCACCUUUAUGCAGGUUGCUCUAUUUGAUGUUUAACAAGUAGCUGCACAAAAAAUAUUAUUAUAUAUAUUAAGUAUUUAAGCGAUAUAUUGAGCUGUUUAUCUGGGAAAUGUUUCGGAUUUAGGAGAUACAUUUUAGAGCGUCUUAAGAGGAGAAAACACGAAAGGGGAAGAAAAGUUAGCGGAUCGAUUAUCGGAGGGAUGCAAAGCUCAAUCCUCAGAUUCUGCUGUGAGCAGUGCAGCCUGAGGUGAAGAUACAAAAAGUAACUGGUUCCAAACGCAAAGGUUUAACGUAACGAGGAGACACAGACGGGAGACGAGGCCAAAGGGCUCGGGGGGUCAUUGCAGGGCGCUCUGCGUCUCAUCCGAGGCUCCGGGCGGAUUAAGACUUCGCUCUGCGGCAUCGGACCGUCUGCAGGUCGUUUAUCAGACGAGAUGUUGGGAGACGAGAUGACGCACGGCGAGGGACGUUGCACCACAGAGGCUCUCGUUGCUUUUGACGUUGAGUUAUUAUCGAUUUAACCACCAACAACGUGGAUUCAGGAAGACUUGGGACAUGGAAUUGAUUGAAUUUAGUUUUCAUUGUGUGUGUUUGUGUGUCUUUACGUGCCCAAAUACAGGAUCUGGUUUUACAAAUCUGUGACUCAAGUGCACUUUAUGAAAUGGACUUUCUUGUAAAAGUAUAAUUAGGCAGAGUUCCUGGUCGUGGUCACGAAUGUGCCGAGGCGGCUGAGCUGGUGGCCCUUCUUCUGCUUGUUCCACAGACCGAAGUCAAAGCAAACAGGACUGAGACACAUUAAAAUAAAAGCAUUAUCGGCAUAUCUUCAGGUGAGAGGGAGAGUUGUAACAUCUCCCAGCUGCUAGAGAGCAAACCGUGAGGCAUUACUCUCGGUUUGAGUCUGCGAAACGAGAGAAACGUCCUGGUUAAGGAACGCAGAGGUUUAUGGAAUCCUCCAGGGAGCGCGGAGCAGCACUAACAUCUUGUCUCGUGAACAACACUCACAACACUUGACAACAUUACACGGAGGAGCUUUUUCCCCGGGAGCUAAAUCAGUGAAGUAUUUAUCUCCUCAUUUUCCAGAUCAUUUGAACCUUUGUGGAGGCGCGACGGAGAUGUAAACACAGCCUCCCACCGUGGAGCGGAAAAUGUCUCCUGCUCUAUUUCGUGUUCCUCCACAGGCAACAAAGUGGGUCCCUCAAACUGACGCUUAAUACUACAGCGUGGGACGAGAAGAACAAUUGGUGGCAUCCAGCUUUUUCUCCUUGAUCCCUUCUUGGAACAGAAGAGAGCACCUGCACACCUUUACAAAGGCUGACUCCAUGUCGCCUCGUGGUCCUCUGGAUGUCCCUGUGGAUGUCCCUCUAGAUGUCCCUCAGGUUGUCUCUCUGGCUGUUCCUCUGGAUGUCCCCCUGGAUGUCCCUGUGGAUGUCACUCUAGAUGUCACUCAGGUUGUCUCUCUGGAUGUUCCUCUGGAUGUCCCUCAGGUUGUCUCUCUGGAUGUUCCUCUGGAUGUCCCCCUGGAUGUCCCUCUAGAUGUCCCUCUAGAUGUCCCUCAGGUUGUCUCUCUGGAUGUUCCUCUGGAUGUCCCUCAGGUUGUCUCUCUGGAUGUUCCUCUGGAUGUCCCCCUGGAUGUCCCUCUGGAUGUCACCCUGGAUGUUCCUCUGGAUGUUCCUCUGGAUGUCCCUCUAGAUGUCCCUCAGGUUGUCUCUCUGGAUGUUCCUCUGUAUGUCCCUCAGGUUGUCUCUCUGGAUGUUCCUCUGGAUGUUCCUCUGGAUGUCCCUCAGGUUGUCUCUCUGGAUGUUCCACUGGAUGUCCCCCUGGAUGUUCCCCUGGAUGUCCCUCUGGAUGUUCCAGGAGAUGAGGAGCAGAGGACCAGCAGCAUCCUCGCUGCACAGCAACGUGUGUGUGAUGCACAUAAACUAGCAUGUAACUCUACAUGUGAUUCCCAUCGUUGUCACAUAUUUCCAGUCAGUAUGUUGAUUGUUUGUGGAAAUGAAUUCGGGACUUGAAACCCUUUCCACAGACUCCAUGGGCCACAUUGUGUGCGGUAUAAACACAGCUAGAUACACUCGACCACACCAGAUAUUGCUUUCUGUCACGGAAACAACAUCCUGAACACGCAGCACUGAAGACAAAGGAGAAUCGAGAUAAUCCAGUUUGCAGGAGAGAACAACGUUGUAGAAAAGAGCUCAUAAAGAGACGUAAUCCAAUCUGAGAAAUUACAGAUUCCUCCCUUCAUAUCAAUGUGUGUGUGUGUGUGUGACUGUGUGCACGAGGCUCAUAUAAGAGGAGGAGCCGCAGAGAGAAAUCUGAGAUCUUAAAUCAUGUAGCGUCUGUGAGGGAAUUUGUUGGCGGUGUACGCGAGAUCAGCUGGUAGCGACACAAACACGCCUCACCUUCUCGCAUCGAGCUCGACCGUACGAGAGCUGUUUGGACGAGGACAUCACGUCUCACUAACGUUACAUCUGGGGGCUGUUGCGUGCACAGUAGGAAAGCUGCACGCUUUCCUUGAAGGUUUGACAGCAUUUCGGAGUUAAAUCCCUUCGGUGUGACAGUGAGGGUUACAUUUCAUUUUAGCUUUGGCACAAAACCUGAAUCCAUCUCUGUGAAAGGAUGAUUCACACCUCCACUAAAUGAAUUAAAGUGGUGAGAACUGAGCCCUGUGUUGUUGGCACACAGUCUAUACAUUAAGUGAGACGUCCACGGAACCUCGUGAAUAUUCAUGCGGAGUCGUUUGUCACGCUGUUCACUCGUGCAGAAACGAUCUGGAUCAGUGCGCCAACAAGCUGGUUUUCCUCUCGCAUGAACACGCUCGCAGAUUUCCGGUUUCUUCUUUUUACUUUCACACGUUAUUUCCCGUAUUUUAAAACUUUUCCUCAUCUUACUCGCUGCUGAAAGGAGGUGGACUCACUCCAGGAUGAAAUGGAUCGGCUUGAUUAACAUGAAGCUAAUUGGCGUUGACCUCCCGUGAGCCCCGCUGGGACGGCGAGGCGCGUGGAACCGGACCUCACGAGUUACACACGAUCCAACGAGCAGCCCGGAGCUCAGACCAGCUAUGGAAUAUAAGUGUUUGGGAAGUUCUGGAAGAGUUUUCGAGAGUGACUCGAGCAUCAAGUGUGUGUGGGACCGCGGCUUUUGCGAGUCCGUCGUGGUCGCUGGCCCCUUCGUACACAAACUCUCUUCCCAGAAGAGAAUCGGCCUCGUUGAGACGAAAACAAACCAAACGAUCUGCGGCAUCUUUCUUCAUCGCGCGUCUGAUUGAUGGCGUUUGAGCUGCAGCGGAGCGGGAAAACAUUUGGAGGCACACGCAGGCGUGACUUGGUGUGCCUGGGCAGAGUGAGGCGUUCGCUCAGGAGUCAUGAGGGCACCGCGUGUGCAAAUACUACCGCGUGUGCAAAUACCCGUUGGGUUUCGCCGAACGCCUCCCUAUCUGGCAGCGCCGAUUUGAAACAAACACUUUAAGAAUCACUUGCAAAUCGCUGUUAAGAUUUAUUGAGACUGUGGGUGUGUGAGUGGGUGUGAGUGGGUGAGGGGAGGGGUUGGCAUGGGG